UACGGAGGGUGCAAGCGUUAUCCGGAUUUACUGGGUCUAAAGGGUGCGUAGGCGGAUUUGUAAGUCAGUGGUGAAAGCCUGGAGCUUAACUCCGGAAUUGCCAUUGAUACUGCUUAUCUUGAGUACAGUUGAGGUGGGCGGAAUGUGUCAUGUAGCGGUGAAAUGCUUAGAUAUGACACAGAACACCGAUUGCGAAGGCAGCUCGCUAAACUGUAACUGACGCUGAGGCACGAAAGCGUGGGGAUCGAACAGG
rnacentral:rRNA from 1 species